UACGAAGGGGGCUAGCGUUGCUCGGAAUCACUGGGCGUAAAGGGUGCGUAGGCGGGUCUUUAAGUCAGGGGUGAAAUCCUGGAGCUCAACUCCAGAACUGCCUUUGAUACUGAGGAUCUUGAGUCCGGGAGAGGUGAGUGGAACUGCGAGUGUAGAGGUGAAAUUCGUAGAUAUUCGCAAGAACACCAGUGGCGAAGGCGGCUCACUGGCCCGUAACUGACGCUGAGGCACGAAAGCGUGGGGAGCAAACAGG
rnacentral:rRNA from 1 species